ACGAUCAGUAGCCGACCUGAGAGGGUGAUCGGCCACAUUGGAACUGAGACACGGUCCAAACUCCUACGGGAGGCAGCAGUGGGGAAUAUUGCACAAUGGGCGAAAGCCUGAUGCAGCCACGCCGCGUGAGUGAUGAAGGCCUUCGGGUCGUAAAACUCUGUCCUCAAGGAAGAUAAUGACGGUACUUGAGGAGGAAGCCCCGGCUAACUACGUGCCAGCAGCCGCGGUAAUACGUAGGGGGCUAG
rnacentral:rRNA from 1 species